rnacentral:rRNA from 1 species
GACGAACGCUGGCGGCGUGCCUAAUACAUGCAAGUCGAGCGAACGGACGAGAAGCUUGCUUCUCUGAUGUUAGCCGCGGACGUGUGAGUAACACGUGUAUAACCCACUUAUAAGUGUGGUAAAACUUCGGGAAUCCGGCGCUAAUACCGUAUAAUAUUUUGAACCGUAUGGGUGAAAAGUGAAAUUCGGCCUUGCUGUCACUUAUAGCUGGAUCCGCGCUGGAUUAGCUAGUUGUGAGGGUUACAGCUUAUUAAGGCAACUAUGCGUAGCCGACGGGAGAGGGUGGUCGGCCACAUUAGAGGUGAGCCAGGGACAUGGCGACUGAGGGACGCAGCAGUAGGGAAUCGUACGCAAUGGGCGAAAGUAUGACGGAAUGAGGCGGCGUGAGAGAUGAAGGUCUUCGGUUCGUGAAGCUCUGUUAUUGGUGAAGAACAUAUGUGUAAGGAACUGAGCAGUUCUUGACGGUAACUGGUCAGAAAGCAACGGCUAACUACGUG